AGCGGCUCCUAGCCGCACGAACAGAGCAAUAACAGGUCUGUGAUGCCCUUAGAUGUCCGGGGCCGCACGCGCGCUACACUGAAGGAAGCAGCGUGUUUUUAUCCCUGUCUGUAAAGACUGGGUAACCCGUGGAACCUCCUUCGUGAUUGGGAUAGGGGCUUGCAAUUGUUCCCCUUGAACGAGGAAUUCCCAGUAAGCGCGAGUCAUAAGCUCGCGUUGAUUACGUCCCUGCCCUUUGUACACACCGCCCGUCGCUACUACCGAUUGAAUGAUUUAGUGAGGUCUUCGGACCGAUACCCGGAGCGGCCUUUCGGUUGCGCCGGUGUGUUGGAAAGAUGACCAAACUUGAUCAUUUAGAGGAAGUAAAAGUCGUAACAAGGUUUCCGUAGGUGAACCUGCGGAAGGAUCAUUA
rfam:Ixodes scapularis strain Wikel colony gcontig_1108378864362, whole genome shotgun sequence.